rnacentral:lncRNA from 1 species
CCAAAAUUUGACAGAAUCUUCCUCUCAACAUUUCGAACAACUUUGUAGAAGAAGUCGAAGCUCAAUUCUAAGCCUAAACAGGUCAAUCGACUGAAAAUAUAAAAAUCCCCAAUUUUAAACCCUAAAAACUUCAAAUCUUCGAUUCUCUUCACACACACCGAAUCGAGCUACCAAAUUCUAGGGGAAUGUAGUACUAAUCAAACUCAACUUAUCCAUAUAUAGAACUCACCAAAUGGUGACCUAAGGAAGGAGAAAUUUGAUCGACACCGAAUCCGAACCGGCGGAGUUUUGGAGCUCGAUUUAUCCCUCACGGCGGCGCCACUCGAUGCACCAUUUAUCCAGCAAUGAAGUAGAGACGACGGCGAAGCUUUUGGGACAAGUGUGACGGUCUCCGGUGGCUUGACGGCGGAGCUAGGCCGAGAAGAAAAUCUGGCAGAUAAUAGACUUCUUACCAUCCAUCUUCGCCUAUAUAAAGAACUUUAGCCGACGAAAUUCUUUAUUUUCGUCGGCUAAGCUCUUUUGAAAAUUUUGGCUGACCGCCAAAAAAUUUUGGUUGAAAAUUUUGAAAAUUUUUCGACUUUAGCCGACGACUUUUCAUAUAUUUUCGUCGGCUAAAGUCCUUUGAAAAUUUUCCUCCAACUUUGGUUUACCGCCUAAAAAAUUUUGAAAUUUUUUGACCUUAGCCGACGACUUUUCAUAUAUUUUCGUCGGCUAAAGUCUAUAAAUUCACGAAAACGCUUAUAUCUCCCCCUAUAUUACGUAAUUUGGUCAAACCUUCCACACCAAAAACUCUCACGUAGAUGAGACGCAACUGCCCAUAUAAAAAUUUUGAGACAUUUACCUUCCGACGAUAGGGCUCCCCAUAAGGAAUAAUAACGGUAAAUAGGGUUGACCGCUACUAUCGGCUCCGAGACUUUACCCGAUUUACGUGAUUUUUGAACCAUAGCCGUAUUUCACCAUUUUGAACACAUCUUAUUUCACGAGAUUUUUCAUAAUUUUGCUUCCUAUGUAGAGUUGGUUCACAAAGUUGUAUAACCUACUAAACAAGUUAUACAACAUUAGUAGACACGUUGUGAUUCCGAUGACUAAAAUUCACAAACCAAAAUUCGACCGUCAGAUAUGAUCAUUAUGACGAAAUAUGUCUAUGGUAAAAAAUUCAACUGGAUCCGACAACGUUAAGGGCUC